UACGGGGGGAGCAAGCGUUGUUCGGAUUUACGGGGCGUAAAGGGCGCGUAGGCGGCCACCGCAAGUCAAUUGUGAAAUCUCCGGGCUCAACCCGGAACGGUCAACUGAUACUGCGGGGCUAGAGUGCAGAAGGGGCAACUGGAAUUCUCGGUGUAGCGGUGAAAUGCGUAGAUAUCGAGAGGAACACCUGCGGCGAAGGCGGGUUGCUGGGCUGACACUGACGCUGACAGCGCGAAAGCUAGGGGAGCGAACGGG
rnacentral:rRNA from 1 species